GCUGUUCAGUGAUGAGACUCUGGAAAGAGCGCUGGGCACAGCGCCCGAUUUUAGACUGCGGAAGCUUUCCAAGCUGCCUUCCUUCUGAGAACAGC